UGACCUCGGAUCAGGUAGGGAUACCCGCUGAACUUAAGCAUAUCAAUAAGCGGAGGAAAAGAAACCAACAGGGAUUGCCUCAGUAACGGCGAGUGAAGCGGCAAAAGCUCAAAUUUGAAAUCUGGCUCUUUCAGGGUCCGAGUUGUAAUUUGUAGAAGAUGUUUCGGGCGUGGCCCCGGUCUAAGUUCCUUGGAACAGGACGUCAUAGAGGGUGAGAAUCCCGUAUGUGACUGGGUGCCUAUGCCUAUGUGAAACUCUUUCGACGAGUCGAGUUGUUUGGGAAUGCAGCUCAAAAUGGGUGGUAAAUUUCAUCUAAAGCUAAAUAUUGG
rnacentral:rRNA from 1 species